rnacentral:rRNA from 1 species
GAUACCCGCGUAGUCCUAGCCGUAAACGAUACUCGCUAGGUGUCGGCCACGGUGCGACCGUUGUCGGUGCCGUAGGGAAGCCGUGAAGCGAGCCACCUGGGAAGUACGGCCGCAAGGCUGAAACUUAAAGGAAUUGCGGGGGAGCACAACAACGGGUGGAGCUUGCGGUUUAAUUGGAUUCAACGCCGGAAAUCUUACCGGGACCGACAGCAGCAUGAAGGCCAAGCUGAAGACUUUGCCGGAUUAGCUG